rnacentral:rRNA from 1 species
AUACGUAGGGGGCAAGCGUUAUCCGGAUUUACUGGGUGUAAAGGGAGCGUAGACGGCACUGCAAGUCUGGAGUGAAAGCCCGGGGCUCAACCCCGGGACUGCUUUGGAAACUGUGGUGCUAGAGUGCAGGAGAGGUAAGUGGAAUUCCUAGUGUAGCGGUGAAAUGCGUAGAUAUUAGGAAGAACACCAGUGGCGAAGGCGACUUUCUGGACCGUAACUGACGCUGAGGCAUGAAAGCGUGGGUAGC